UGACCGGUGGCUCAAUCGGGAGAGCGGCUGCCCCACAAGCAGCAGGUCGCAGGUUCGAAUCCGGUCCGGUCAA
rnacentral:tRNA from 1 species